rnacentral:rRNA from 1 species
AUAUUAGGUUAAGUUAUUAAGGGCGUAUGGUGGAUGCCUUGGCACUAGGAGCCGAUGAAGGACGUGACUAACUGCGAUAUGCUUCGGGGAGUUGUAAGUAAACUAUGAUCCGGAGAUUUCCGAAUGGGGAAACCUAACAGGUUUUACCGCCUGUUAUCACUAAGUGAAUUCAUAGCUUAGUUGAAGGUAGACGUGGG